UACGGGGGGAGCAAGCGUUGUUCGGAUUUACUGGGCGUAAAGGGCGGGUAGGCGGCCACCGCAAGUCGACUGUGAAAUCUCCGGGCUUAACCCGGAAAGGUCAGCCGAUACUGCGGGGCUAGAGUGCAGAAGGGGCAACUGGAAUUCUCGGUGUAGCGGUGAAAUGCGUAGAUAUCGAGAGGAACACCUGCGGCGAAGGCGGGUUGCUGGGCUGACACUGACGCUGAACUGCGAAAGCUAGGGGAGCGAACGGG
rnacentral:rRNA from 1 species